GAUGAACGCUGGCGGCGUGCCUAAUACAUGCGAGUCGAGCGAACAGAUAAGGAGCUUGCUCCUUUGACGUUAGCGGCGGACGGGUGAGUAACACGUGGGUAACCUACCUAUAAGACUGGAAUAACUCCGGGAAACCGGGGCUAAUGCCGGAUAACAUUUAGAACCGCAUGGUUCUAAAGUGAAAGAUGGUUUUGCUAUCACUUAUAGAUGGACCCGCGCCGUAUUAGCUAGUUGGUAAGGUAACGGCUUACCAAGGCAACGAUACGUAGCCGACCUGUGAGGGUGAUCGGCCACACUGGAACUUAGACACGGUCCAGACUCCUACGGGAGGCAGCAGUAGGGAAUCUUCCGCAAUGGGCGAAAGCCUGACGGAGCAACGCCGCGUGAGUGAUGAAGGUCUUCGGAUCGUAAAACUCUGUUAUUAGGGAAGAACAAAUGUGUAAGGAACUGUGCACGUCUUGACGGUACCUAAUCAGAAAGCCACGGCUAACUACGUG
rnacentral:rRNA from 1 species